rnacentral:misc_RNA from 1 species
CCAAUAGCGUAUAUUAAAGUUGUUGCAGUUAAAAAGCUCGUAGUUGAAUUUUAGGCCUGGCCGGGCGGUCCGUCUUUGGCGAGUACUGUCUUGUUGUCGGGUCUUCCUUCUGGUGAACCAGUAUGUCCUUUAUUGGGUGUGUUGGGGAGCCAGGACCAUUACCUUGAAAAAAUUAUAGUGUUUAAAGCGGGCUAUUGCUGGAAUAGCUUAGCAUGGAAUAAUAGGAUAGGACGUUGUGGUUCUAUUUUGUUGGUUUCUAGGACCACCGUAAUGAUUAAUAGGGAAAGUUGGGGGCAUUAGUAUUCAAUUGUCAGAGGUGAAAUUCUUGGAUUUAUUGAAGACUAACUAUUGCGAAAGCAUUUGCCAAGGAUGUUUUCAUUAAUCAAGACCGAAAGUUAGGGGAUCGAAGACGAUCAGAUACCGUCGUAGUCUUAACCAUAAACUAUGCCGACUAGGAAUCGGGCGACGUUAUUUUCAUGACUCGCUCGGCGCCUUAUG